rnacentral:rRNA from 1 species
AAUCUUGCACAAUGGAGGAAACUCUGAUGCAGCGAUGCCGCGUGAGUGAAGAAGGCCUUUGGGUUGUAAAGCUCUUUUGUAGGGGAAGAUAAUGACUGUACCCUAAGAAUAAGGUCCGGCUAACUUCGUGCCAGCAGCCGCGGUAAUACGAAGGGACCUAGCGUAGUUCGGAAUUACUGGGCGUAAAGCGCGCGUAGGCCGUUGAGUUAGUUAAUUGUGAAAUCCCAAAGCUUAACUUUGGAACUGCAAUUAAAACUGCUCGACUAGAGUUUGAUAGAGGAAAGCGGAAUACAUAGUGUAGAGGUGAAAUUCGUAGAUAUUAUGUAGAACACCAGUUGCGAAGGCGGCUUUCUGGAUCAACACUGACGCUGAGGCGCGAAAGUAUGGGUAGCAAAGAGGAUUAGAUACCCUCGUAGUCCAUACCAUAAACGAUGAUUGCUAGAUGUUGGAAAUUUAUUUUCAGUAUCGCAGCUAACGCAUUAAGCAAUCCGCCUGGGGAGUACGACCGCAAGGUUAAAACUCAAAUGAAUUGACGGGGACCCGCACAAGCGGUGGAGCAUGUGGUUUAAUUCGAAGAUACGCGCAGAACCUUACCAACCCUUGACAUGUCUGUCGCGAGUUUAGGAAACUAGACUUUUCGGUUCGGCCGGACAGAACACAGGUGCUGCAUGGCUGUCGUCAGCUCGUGUCGUGAGAUGUUGGGUUAAGUCCCGCAACGAGCGCAACCCCUACUUUUAGUUGCCAUCAGGUCAUGCUGGGCACUCUGAAAGAACUGCCAGUGAUAAGCUGGAGGAAGGUGGGGAUGACGUCAAGUCCUCAUGGCCCUUACGGGUUGGGCUACACACGUGCUACAAUGGUAGUGACAAUGAGAUGCAAAGUGGCGACGCUAAGCUAAACUCAAAAAUCUACCUCAGUUCGGAUUGCACUCUGCAACUCGAGUGCAUGAAGCUGGAAUCGCUAGUAAUCGUAGAUCAGCGUGCUACGGUGAAUACGUUCCCGGGUCUUGUACACACCGCCCGUCACACCAUGGAAGUUGGUUCUACCUUAAAGCAGAUUGCUAACCGCAAGGAGGCGUUUGACCAAGGUAUAGUCAGCAACUGGGGUGAAGUCGUAACAAGGUAGCCGUAGGGGAACCUGCGGCUG